GAAUUCUGUUGCAAAGGUGAUGAAGGGACUGAAGAGGUGAAGAGAGACUUAAAAUACACCAGGCCAAUUAAUUUGUCUGUGGAUUGGACUUCUGAAUUUUUUAGUCAAAAUCAAGGAUGUGACUGGAAGGUUCUACGUAUUACAGUUACAUUCCACACACAAAAACCAAUGGGGACCAAGGAGGUCUUGUGCUUCUACCCACUCCCACUGCCCUUAGACAACUAAGGAAGUUCUGCCUGUCUCAACUAGGGAGCCAAGAACAAGAAUCUUGCAAAGGGAGAAGCAGAAUUACAAGGUCGUUGAUCCCAAUGAAAACUCUGGUGAGCCCAGCUUGAUUGAUGUAAGAAGCAAUCAGACUAUUGGUAUUCUCAUCCUUGGGCAUGGUCAGUGUUCCUCCUCUUCCAUGGCAGUGGAGCUGGGCAUCC